rnacentral:rRNA from 1 species
CUUCAAAAAUUUCUCCUUAUGUGUUCCUUCUCCUUUGUGAUUUGUUGUUGUAACUCUUUAUACAUUGUUUCAUGCUUGGUCAGUCUAACUCUUAGUUCAUUCGAAGAGUUCAUGUUGGUAAUAUGGUCGACACUAGCUUCGUGCUCUUUCAGUCUCUCAUUAAUAUGCCUCCAAUCACAAAACCCAUCAUUCCCCAUUGCACUCGUGCAUUUAUCAGAAUUGAAAAAAACAAAACACUUUUUUUACGUGUUUUAA